rnacentral:rRNA from 1 species
GACGUAGGGCGCGAGCGUUGUCCGGAUUUAUUGGGCGUAAAGAGCUCGUAGGCGGCUUGUCGCGUCGACUGUGAAAUCCCGCGGCUCAACCGCGGGUCUGCAGUCGAUACGGGCAGGCUAGAGUUCGGUAGGGGAGACUGGAAUUCCUGGUGUAGCGGUGAAAUGCGCAGAUAUCGGGGGGAACAUCAGUGGCGAAAGCGGCACCCUGGCAUUAGCCUGACGCUCAUGUGCGAAAGCGUGGGGAGCGAACGGG